rnacentral:lncRNA from 1 species
UGAGGACAUGCUAAAAAUUUACCAACCCAGAAGGAAAAUAUCAAGAAGAUGAAAGACAAUAAGUGACUGCUCUAUGACAACAACUUGAAAAAACCCAGAAUAAAUGUGCAGACUAAACAUUUUUAUCAACCCAGAAAGAAAUUCUGUCCCGCUGAGCAGUCAUUUUCCAGGACCCCCACCCCAGGCCCUGGCAACCACAGGUGUGCUUUGUGUGAAGAGAGGCUCUUCAGCUGGGACCUGAGGUGUGGACAGAAGUCAACUUGUCAGGUAGUGAGGGAAGGGAGACAACAGCGUGAACAGUAUCUAGCAGAGCAGAGGUGAAGGCAAGAAAUCAACAGACCUGCGUGGCCAGGGCACAGAAUAUGAAGGCAUGUAUCCAGUAGAUGUGUUGGAAGAUGAUCCUGACGCACAACAGGAAGCAGCUCUGGCUUACCAUGCCUCACUUAGGGAAGGAGCUGGGGCCCCAGCUGAGGUUUUCUGUCUUCCCACUGGGGAGA